UGUAACCUACAGAUAUACCUCAAGCGGCUACUGCUUGCUCGUUAAACUUCAGAAUAAACUUCUGCUAAUCGAGCAUGUUUUCUUUCUGUUGACAGGUCAAUCAGCUGAGUCUCCGGAUGUAACCAUGGCAACGGAAGGAAAUGGAACGCACGAUAAGAAGUUUGAGCUGGAGUUGGACUGCACGAUAAAGGCUCACUUGGACAAGGAGAAAGGGUUGACGAGCCCCGAAUUCUGUCCACGAACGUGGGACUCGCUGCUCUGCUGGCCGCCGACACGCCCGGGGUCUGUCGCCCUCCAACCCUGCUUUAGCGAGCUCAACGGCAUACCCUAUGACACCACCCGUAAGUACACUCUCAAGCUCCAUGCAUGUCACAUCCGUAUAACGCUUGAAAACAACGCCAAUUAGCGACACCUCAUGUGAAAAAGUAAAAGGUAAUAGACUGAUUCAGUGACUACGUCAUUCGAUAUAAAAUCGAGCUCUCGGUUCAAACAUAAAAAAACUUAACAUGACCUCAUGCACGGAAAAAAAAAGUAUCACAAUCCCAACUAUACUCCUGACUGCUUUUGGCGCCAAAUGUAACAUUAGUUGCACCAGUGAAAGGGACGGUUGAGUCUGCUGAGAGUGAAGUUAGAUCAACCAUACAUCUGGCUAUACUCUUAUAUCUGGCGCCAAAAUCAACCAGGAGUAAAGUUGGGAUUGUAAUACUUUUAUUUAGUGUAUACGAAUUUUUCAUGAGCUAAUCGCGUUAAUUUAUUAAAAUUUAGGCAUUGACCGAUCAUGAAUCGAUUAAAGACUCAUUAGACACGAGAAAUUCGAUUGUAAGAAACACUUGGACGCAUUUUACCACCGUAGCGCAAAGGACGCGAAUUAGAGACAAGGUUCUGUGUUUGUGUACAUUUGAACCAUGAGUUCGAUAUUACAUCGAUUGACGAAGCCACUAAACCAGUCUAUAGCAGUACUAGUCUGCCAUGUAGAGGAAGAACGCCGUUUGAACCUGAAGGCGUUGCAAAAUUUCCUUUGACGUGCUUUCAUCCAUUUCCAAAGGACGUGCGCGUCGAUGACGGCGCAGAGAUACAACUAUUCGUGUUCGACGGAUGUCCGUGUUGCGUCUGCGAAAUUGAAGGCGCUGUGCGGCGAGGCGUGAAGUCGCAAUGCUUUGCUCUAUGCAUGCCAA
rnacentral:lncRNA from 1 species